GGAGGCAGGAAGGGAGACCGACAGAACUCACUACGAAACCCUGGAGAUUGGACAGGAGACCAACAGGACUCGCUAUGAAGCCCUGGAGGCAGACCGCGAAACCGACAGGACACACUACGAAGUCCUGGAGAUUGGACAGGAGACCAACAGUAUUCGCUACGAAACCCUGGAGGAAGGCUGCGAGAACGACAGGACUCACUACGAAGCCCUGGAGAUUGGACAGGCGACCAACGGGACUUGCUAUGAAGCCCUGGAGGCAGUCCAGGAGACCGACGAUACUCGCUAGGAAGCACCGGAGGUCAGCCCGGAGGCCAACGGGACUCGCUAGGAAGCCCUGAAGGUCAGCCAGGAGACCAAGAGGACUCACUAUGAAGCCCUGGAGUUCAGCCAGGAGACCAAGAGGACUCAAUAUGAAGCCCUGAUGUUCAGCCAGGAUACAACGGGACUCGCUAGGAAGCCCUGGAGGUCAGCCUGGAGACCAACGGGACUCGCUAGGAAGCCCUGGAGUUCAGCCAGGAGACCAAGAGGACUCAAUAUGAAGCCCUGAUGUUCAGCCAGGAUACAACGGGACUCGCUAGGAAGCCCUGGAGGUCAGCCUGGAGACCAACGGGACUCGCUAGGAAGCCCUGGAGUUCAGCCAGGAGACCAAGAGGACUCAAUAUGAAGCCCUGAUGUUCAGCCAGGAUACAACGGGACUUGCUAGGAAGCCCUGGAGGUCAGCCAGGAGACCAACAGGACUCGCUAGGAAGCCCUCAAAGUCAGCCAGGAGACCAACUGCACUCGCUAGGAAGCCCUGAAAGUCAGCCAGGAGGCCAACGGGACUCGCUAGGAAGCCCUGAAGGUCAGCCGGGAGACCAACGGGACUCACUAGGAAGCCCUGAAGGUCAGGGCUGCCUCUCCUGCCAACAACUUUCAAGCGUUAAGCUCUUCCGCCAACGGCCCCAAGUGUCAAGCUCCCCUGACACUGCAGUCCUGUUGUCCUCAAGCUUUUCUGCCACCGAUAAUCAAGCAUGAAGCUUGGAGCCCUCAUGCCACUUCUUUAUUUAGAAGUACCAUCUUUCAAGCCAGUGCCUUAGAGUGCCUCUAUGGUACAUAUUCAGAAGUGUAUUGAUCACACGUCUGAAUACAGACGGCUGAAUCUGUGUCUGAUCUGAAACCGACUGGCUGCUUUCGUGGGUUUCCUCUUCAGAUGGCUACUGGUUCUGCUGUUCCACUCUGUCCCUCAGCCUUUUGUUCAGCUGAUCCACUUCAGGAUGCAGGUUGGUGUUUUCCUCCUCAAAGGCGGUGUUUAGGUGGUGUUUUUCAGCUUCCUGCAAGAGAUGAGACAUGCAGUAAGAUGAAUAUCUUUUAACAAAAAUAACAAAUUAUGCCUUGUUUUCUAGCCAUCUUCAGUUCUGCUCACAUCUUUUGCAAGGCAGUCCAAAAUGUCUUUGAGUGGCUGCUUCUUUCCAGAUUUGGUUGCUGCUUUGUAGACCUCCAGCAGUCUCAGAACCAGGCCAUCAAGUCCGUCAAGAAAAGAUUCUGGAAGGUCUGUGAUGACGAUUCUUGUAAAUUCUGCCCUAAUCUGAGGUGAUAGAAUAUAAAACUUGUCAGGACACUGUUAACUCAGUAAUAAAUCACUAAAUCUCUUGGAACUAAUUCAGUUGUGCGAUUACCUGUCUCUCAUGGAACAGAGCAGGCCAUCAGGAGAUGAGCUCUGUGAUGUGUGGUUGAUCUCCUACAAUGUCUUUCCUACGCUGAGAAAAUAUAGCAACCAUCAAAUCCUCAAGCAGCUAAUGUUUUGGGUCUUUCUUCUGCAUUUCAACCUCCAUUAUCUUGCGCUUCACCUGCAUGUUUGUCUCCAGGAGAGACGAGACAAAAUAUUGGGUUAAUGAUAACACAAGGUUUUAAAACAAU